rnacentral:rRNA from 1 species
AUUGAACGCUGGCGGCAGGCCUAACACAUGCAAGUCGAACGGUAACAGGAAGAAGCUUGCUUCUUUGCUGACGAGUGGCGGACGGGUGAGUAAUGUCUGGGAAACUGCCUGAUGGAGGGGGAUAACUACUGGAAACGGUAGCUAAUACCGCAUAACGUCGCAAGACCAAAGAGGGGGACCUUCGGGCCUCUUGCCAUCGGAUGUGCCCAGAUGGGAUUAGCUAGUAGGUGGGGUAACGGCUCACCUGGGCGACGAUCCCUAGCUGGUCUGAGAGGAUGACCAGCCACACUGGAACUGAGACACGGUCCAGACUCCUACGGGAGGCAGCAGUGGGGAAUAUUGCACAAUGGGCGCAAGCCUGAUGCAGCCAUGCCGCGUGUAUGAAGAAGGCCUUCGGGUUGUAAAGUACUUUCAGCGGGGAGGAAGGGAGUAAAGUUAAUACCUUUACUCAUUGACGUUACCCGCAGAAGAAGCACCGGCUAACUCCGUG